GGUGGCCUUAUGAAGGUGUAUCAAUCUAGAGAUUCAUCCUGCUUUCCUACGUUACCUGGCAUACAUGCGAAGUAGAGGACCUACAGAUCUAAGCCUACGUGAAGGCUUGAAUCUAGAUUCUAAAGAUUUGAUCCCCAAUUCUACUACAAUCUAGGUAAGAAUUUGAUCUUUAUUCAGUUAGAUUGAUAGAAAAUUUUUAGAUGCAA
rnacentral:lncRNA from 1 species